rnacentral:rRNA from 1 species
UAAUGACUCUCGGCAACGGAUAUCUCGGCUCUCGCAUCGAUGAAGAACGUAGUGAAAUGCGAUACUUGGUGUGAAUUGCAGAAUCCCGUGAACCAUCGAGUCUUUGAACGCAAGUUGCGCCUGAAGCCUUUUGGCUGAGGGCACGUCUGCCUGGGUGUCACGC